rnacentral:rRNA from 1 species
AUGGAGAACAUGAGAUCCGAGAACCACCGGGGCGCGGCCAUGGAGGGCGUGAAGCUGGCGUCGGAGGCGGCGGCCAACACCAACCGCAGGGCCCUGAGGGACAUCAAGAACAUCCUCGGCGCCCCUCACCAGCCCCAGGCCGUCAGCAAGAGGGGCCUGCAAGAAAAACCCGCCGCCGCCGGUGCCAAGAGCCAAGCUGGCGCCGUCGGCCACCGGCCGGUCACCAGGAAAUUCGCCGCCAUCCUGCAGCAAACGCAGCCUGCAAACGCCCCGCUGGCACCAAUUGGCAGUGAGAGGCAGAAGAGAAAUGCUGACACUGCCUUCCAUGCUCCUUCAGACAUGGAGUGCAGCAAGGCUUCAGAUGAUGACCUUGAUGAGAUGAUGACCAAUGAGCUCAAAGAAAUCGACAUGGAGGACACCGAAGAGGAGGAAAUGCCUGACAUCGACAGCUGCGACGUCGGCAACUCCCUUGCGGUUGUUGAAUAUGUGGAUGAAAUUUACAGCUUCUACAGAAGGACCGAGGAGUUGAGCUGUGUGUCCCCCACCUACAUGGCACACCAAUCUGACAUCAAUGAGAAAAUGCGCGGCAUUCUGGUUGACUGGCUGAUUGAGGUGCACUAUAAGCUGGAGCUACUGGGUGAAACCCUGUUCCUCACUGUAAACAUCAUCGACAGAUACCUGGCCAGGGAGAAUGUAGCCAGGAAGAAGCUCCAGCUUGUGGGCGUGACAGCCAUGCUGCUGGCAUGCAAGUAUGAGGAGGUCAGUGUGCCAGUCGUCGAGGAUCUGAUCCUCAUCUGCGAUCGCGCCUACUCCCGGGAAGAUAUUCUGGACAUGGAGAGGAAGAUCGUCGACAGGCUUGAAUUCAACAUGUCAGUCCCUACACCGUACUGCUUCAUGAGAAGGUUCCUCAAGGCAGCAGGGUCUGACAAGAAGCUGGAGCUGCUCUCCUUCUUCCUAAUCGAGCUCAGCCUCGUCGACUACAAGAUGCUCAAGUUCCAGCCGUCGAUGCUGGCGGCGGCGGCCAUCUACACCGCGCAAUGCACGCUCAACGGGUGCAUGUCCUGGAACAAGUGCUGUGAGCUGCACACAAAAUACUCUGAAGAACAGCUCAUGGACUGCAGCACGAUGAUGGUGGAGCUGCACCAGGGCGCGGCGCGCGGGAAGCUCACCGGGGUGCACCGCAAGUACAGCACCUUCAAGUACGGGUGCGCCGCCAAGUCGGAGCCCGCCGCCUUCCUGCUCGACGCGAGGAGGGCCUGA